GAUUGGCAGGCUCCACCGAGCCAGGAGUUGGGUUUGACUCGGUUCAGCUGCAUUAGAAGCCCUUUCAAGCUGAGGUGGGUGAGCCGAGCCGCUCUUCUGAAUGCAGACAGAGCCCCAGGGACUCCUAAGGGAAGGUAAACCUGAAGCCAGGAGCUGAGCAGAAAGUGGUGUUCAUCACAGCUCGUGUCCACCCUGGGGAAACUCCAUCUUCCUUUGUGUGCCAAGGUAUAAUUGAUUUCCUGGUGAGCCAACAUCCGGUAGCCAAAGUAUUGCGGGAUCAUUUGGUUUUCAAGAUUGCACCGAUGCUUAAUCCAGAUGGAGUAUAUCUAGGAAAUUACAGUGCACAGCAAGUCCUCCUGUAUAAUACUGCAGGCUGCAGUCUCACAGCAGUUCCCGCUAUGACUCUUGCCUCGAAGAAGAGCAACAAUAGAGACCAAUUACCCUCUAUCUCCACUCUUAUUGCAAUAUGCCUGGGAAAAAAUAGUGUGGUGCUCUCCAUCCCCCCUUUCUCCCCCCUUUUCAAUUUCAAAUCCUAACC